rnacentral:rRNA from 1 species
ACAACAGUUGGAAACGACUGCUAAUACCGCAUAAGCCCACGACCCGGCACCGGGUAGAGGGAAAAGGAGCAAUCCGCUUUGAGAUGGCCUCGCGUCCGAUUAGCUGGUUGGUGAGGUAACGGCCCACCAAGGCAACGAUCGGUAGCCGGACUGAGAGGUUGAACGGCCACAUUGGGACUGAGACACGGCCCAGACUCCUACGGGAGGCAGCAGUGGGGAAUAUUGCACAAUGGGGGAAACCCUGAUGCAGCGACGCCGCGUGGAGGAAGAAGGUCUUCGGAUUGUAAACUCCUGUUGUUGAGGAAGACAAUGACGGUACUCAACAAGGAAGUGACGGCUAACUACGUGCCAGCAGCCGCGGUAAAACGUAGGUCACAAGCGUUGUCCGGAAUUACUGGGUGUAAAGGGAGCGCAGGCGGGAAGACAAGUUGGAAGUGAAAUCCAUGGGCUCAACCCAUGAACUGCUUUCAAAACUGUUUUUCUUGAGUAGUGCAGAGGUAGGCGGAAUUCCCGGUGUAGCGGUGGAAUGCGUAGAUAUCGGGAGGAACACCAGUGGCGAAGGCGGCCUACUGGGCACCAACUGACGCUGAGGCUCGAAAGUGUGGGUAGCAAACAGGAUUAGAUACCCUGGUAGUCCACACCGU